rnacentral:misc_RNA from 1 species
AUUACUGAGUUUACGCUCUAUAACCCUUUGUGAACAUACCUAUAACUGUUGCUUCGGCGGGUAGGGUCUCCGCGACCCUCCCGGCCUCCCGCCUCCGGGCGGGUCGGCGCCCGCCGGAGGAUAACCAAACUCUGAUUUAACGACGUUUCUUCUGAGUGGUACAAGCAAAUAAUCAAAACUUUUAACAACGGAUCUCUUGGUUCUGGCAUCGAUGAAGAACGCAGCGAAAUGCGAUAAGUAAUGUGAAUUGCAGAAUUCAGUGAAUCAUCGAAUCUUUGAACGCACAUUGCGCCCGCCAGCAUUCUGGCGGGCAUGCCUGUUCGAGCGUCAUUUCAACCCUCAAGCUCUGCUUGGUGUUGGGGCCCUACAGCUGAUGUAGGCCCUCAAAGGUAGUGGCGGACCCUCCCGGAGCCUCCUUUGCGUAGUAACUUUACGUCUCGCACUGGGAUCCGGAGGGACUCUUGCCGUAAAACCCCCCAAUUUUCCAAAGGUUGACCUCGGAUCAGGUAGGAAUACCCGCUGAACUUAAGCAUAUCAAUAAGCGGAGGAAAAGAAACCAACAGGGAUUGCCUCAGUAACGGCGAGUGAAGCGGCAACAGCUCAAAUUUGAAAUCUGGCCCUAGGCCCGAGUUGUAAUUUGCAGAGGAUGCUUUUGGUGCGGUGCCUUCCAAGUUCCCUAGAACGGGACGCCAGAGAGGGUGAGAGCCCCGUACAGUUGGACACCAAGCCUUUGUAAAGCUCCUUCGACGAGUCGAGUAGUUUGGGAAUGCUGCUCAAAAUGGGAGGUAUAUUUCUUCUAAAGCUAAAUACCGGCCAGAGACCGAUAGCGCACAAGUAGAGUGAUCGAAAGAUGAAAAGCACUUUGAAAAGAGGGUUAAACAGCACGUGAAAUUGUUAAAAGGGAAGCGCUUGUGACCAGACUUGCGUCCGGUGAAUCACCCAGCUCUCGCGGCUGGGGCACUUCGCCGGCUCAGGCCAGCAUCAGCUCGCUGUCGGGGACAAAAGCUUCAGGAACGUAGCUCUCUUCGGGGAGUGUUAUAGCCUGUUGCACAAUACCCUU